rnacentral:rRNA from 1 species
AUUGAACGCUGGCGGCAUGCUUUACACAUGCAAGUCGAACGGUAACAGGUUAAGCUGCCGAGUGGCGAACGGGUGAGUAAUGCAUCGGAACGUGCCCGAUCGUGGGGGAUAACGCAGCGAAAGCUGCGCUAAUACCGCAUACGAUCUGAGGAUGAAAGCGGGGGACCGUAAGGCCUCGCGCGAUCGGAGCGGCCGAUGUCAGAUUAGGUAGUUGGUGGGGUAAAGGCUCACCAAGCCGACGAUCUGUAGCUGGUCUGAGAGGACGACCAGCCACACUGGGACUGAGACACGGCCCAGACUCCUACGGGAGGCAGCAGUGGGGAAUUUUGGACAAUGGGCGCAAGCCUGAUCCAGCAAUGCCGCGUGCAGGAAGAAGGCCUUCGGGUUGUAAACUGCUUUUGUACGGAGCGAAAAGGCUCUCUCUAAUACAGGGGGCUCAUGACGGUACCGUAAGAAUAAGCACCGGCUAACUACGUG